AUUCUUUGUUUUUUUUAUAUUGGCAAUACUAUUUUAGUAUUGGAGCUGCACAUUUUUUUCUUGGCAUAAAUAGUUCCUUAGAACUAGAUCUAGAGUUGCACAAAUAGUUCAUUAGAACACAAAACUAAAAGGAAUUAUACAUAACAAUUACUUUAAGUAUUUAUAAGAGGCAAUACAAAAAUGUGCUCUGCUUCAACAUGAUAUAAAUUGCAUAUAAUACCUGAUUUAAAUAAUAUUAAUCAUAUUAACUAAUGGGGAUAUAUCUCCUUCAAAAUGUCUGAUGUUUCUCACAGUGGAGGGAAAAUGCAAUUAUAUGAGUUAUUGAGUUUCUUUUCAUUUCCAAAUAGUGGGAAGAUUUAAGGAGAAUCUUUUCUUUAAAGAAGUAGAAGAAUAAAUUACAGGACUGUUCUGAACUCAUUAAAAAUUAAAUUAGGCCCAUGUGCUUCAGCAACCCACCUGAGGAGCUUUAUGUACCAAACAUAGUCUUAGAGGAACACAAAGUAUGCCACAAAUUUUUGAACAAGCUUUUUGUGUAGUCACUCUCUUCACUAUUCUCCAUCUGUUCCUCCACACAUAGAUGAUAGUGUGUUGACUUCUAAUUGGCCUUUACACACAACACUUCCUGGAAAUUGCUCUUACUGGGGUACUGAUGAACUUAAUGUUGCUGAAACCGGUGGUCAGUUCCUUCAUUGCAUCUGGUGUCUCAGUAGCCUCCAACAUAGUGAACCACAUUCUCCUUCUUGAAACAUUUUCUUCGCUUGACUUGCACAACUGCACAUUCUUCCUUUUCGCCUGCCUCCCAGUACUCCUGUUCAGUCUCCUUACCUUGGCCCCUCCUUCCCCUCUGUUCAGACUCUAAAUGUUGGUAUCUCUGUUCAGGAUUCACUCCUGAGACUUUUCUUUUUACCCACAAAUAAUUUCACCCUAAAUUAUUUCAUUUACUCCUGUAGUUUUAAAAAUUAUCAUAUGCUUUUCUUUCCCAAAUUUACCUCUCCAGGACAUACAAGGAGCAUAAUGGUUCUAAAGUGACCAUGAAAGACCUAAGCAACCUCAUUCUACUUGGGACCUCAUUUUGCUCUGAAACUUAACCUCUGACCUACUGUAGUCCUAAAGUCAGGAAAAUACCACAGAAAAGCUCUGUGGAAACAGUUCUCAGAAAAGCUGCAGAUGGUGAUCACCUAAGAUAGGCCAAGAUAUCGAAAUAUCUGAAAUUCCAGAUGGCCCCCACCUAGGUGUGGUGACCAAUAUCUAAACUAGAAGCCCUGCAGCUUGGCACAUACCCCGCUUGCAACACCCUCACUGUUUAAACCAAUCAUUUUUAAGUGCAUCAACCCCUUGAACUAACCAAUAAUCCUUUCCAGAUUCUUUCCUGCCACUUGAUACGCUAAUCAUGUUUUAGAGUUGUUUUAUGAUUUUCCCGUGGUGUGUGAUGAUUUGCUAAGAGAUGUUAUGAUGUAUGUGAAGUCCCUACCUUUCCCAAAGAGUGUAUAAAACUGCUGCAAACCCUAGGCUCGGGGCCUCUCAGCGUCACCAGUUGCUGAGUGCAAGCGGAGGAUUGAGCUAGCUUGCAAUAAAC
rnacentral:lncRNA from 1 species